rnacentral:rRNA from 1 species
AACGAACGCUGGCGGCAGGCCUAACACAUGCAAGUCGAGCGAGGACUUCGGUCCUAGCGGCGGAAGGGUGAGUAACGCGUGGGAACGUGCCCUUUGCUUAGGAAUAGACCUGGGAAACUGGGAGUAAUACCGGAUGAGCCCUUUGGGGGAAAGAUUUAUCGGCAAAGGAUCGGCCCGCGUUGGAUUAGGUAGUUGGUGGGGAAAUGGCCUACCAAGCCGACGAUCCAUAGAUGGUUUGAGAGGAUGAUUAGCCACACGGGGACUGGGACACGUCCCGGACUCCUAGGGGAGGAAGAGGAGGGGAAUCUUAGAAAAGGGGGGAAACCUUGAGCAAGCCAGGCGGCGUGAGCGAGGAAGGCCUUAGGGUUGUAAAGCUCUUUCAGCUGGGAAGAUAAUGACGGUACCAGAAGAAGAAGCCCCGGCUAACUCCGUG